CCGCACGGGUGAGUAACACGUAUCCAACCUGCCGUCUACUCUUGGACAGCCUUCUGAAAGGAAGAUUAAUACAAGAUGGCAUCAUGAGUCCGCAUGUUCACAUGAUUAAAGGUAUUCCGGUAGACGAUGGGGAUGCGUUCCAUUAGAUAGUUGGCGGGGUAACGGCCCACCUAGUCUUCGAUGGAUAGGGGUUCUGAGAGGAAGGUCCCCCACAUUGGAACUGAGACACGGUCCAA
rnacentral:rRNA from 1 species